rnacentral:rRNA from 1 species
UGCGCAGGCGGUUAUACAAGACAGGCGUGAAAUCCCCGGGCUUAACCUGGGAAUUGCGUCUGUGACUGUAUAGCUAGAGUGUGUCAGAGGGGGGUAGAAUUCCACGUGUAGCAGUGAAAUGCGUAGAUAUGUGGAGGAAUACCAAUGGCGAAGGCAGCCCCCUGGGAUAACACUGACGCUCAUGCACGAAAGCGUGGGGAGCAAACA